GAUUUAAAAAAAAAAACUGAAAUUUAAUUAUUUUAAUAUAUAAAACAAGUAAAAAAUUCAAUAAAACCUAUAUAGCUGAGAAUAUAAUGAAUAUAAAAAGUGUGCGCGUGGCAAUUGUGAAAAUGUGAAAAAUUUUGAAAAAUAUUCAGGAAACUGCGUGAAGUGGUAAAAAUAUACGAAGAGAAUUCCUUCGUCUUUCACCUUUGUUUUAAAUUAAAAUGACCCUUAUAAUUUCAUCAAGUUCCUCCGCGAAGAAAUUCCGUCGCUUCCACUUUGAUUGAUGAGCAUUGUGGAGUGCAAUUCACCGCAACCAAAAUCAGGGAUUUCACCGCAUAAAUGGCCAACAACCAAAAUUCAAUCACCUUUGUCCAUUCCGAGAGUACAACAACAACAACAACAAAUCCAGAGCUCAAAAGAGGAGUCUGAUGAUCACCUGCUCACCUCAAAUAUCAUUCCAACGGCGGCCAACGAACGACGAAUAAUCUGAGCAUGAGACUCCGGAGUGAAUGGAGGGGUUAAAGGUGAAUUGUUUUAGGGUCUGCUCUAUACAGGCGAGAUUCAUCAUAUUAAAUAUAGUCAUGUGCAGAAAAUCUUCCACCAAUUAAUUGGCUAAUUUAGGUCAAAUGGCGUUGAGGAUCGAAGGUUUCUGUAGUGAAUGUGAUGAGAAGAAAAUGAUAUGGUGUCGAGAAAUUGUUUGCGAAAAAGAAUUUGCUUUGUUCUUUAACGAAAGUCAAUUUUGUUGUUGAAGAAUUUGAUUUUCGUAAAUGCAAUGAAAAAUGUUCUCAUUUAACUAUUAAAAUUUAAUAGAGAAACAGAAGAAGAAAUGAGUUUAUUCAUUUAAUUUUUUUUCUUAUUUAACAUAAAACUCAAAAAAUGAGGUUGUCCCAAAAUUAUUAAAAGCCAAAAAGUCACAUUUAUGCAUAAAAAAGACUACGAAAAAAAAUCAAUAUUUUGCAUAAUUAAUACGCAUAAAGGUUGAGGAAUGGAGAAAUUAUGAUUUAGAAAGUUGACUUUUAAAUGCAAUUAUUUUGAAUUUCAAUAAACUUAUGCGGAGAAUUCUUGGAA